GAGUUUGAUCGUGGCUCAGGAUGAACGCUGGCGGCGUGCCUAAUACAUGCAAGUCGAGCGAACGGACGAGAAGCUUGCUUCUCUGAUGUUAGCGGCGGACGGGUGAGUAACACGUGGAUAACCUACCUAUAAGACUGGGAUAACUUCGGGAAACCGGAGCUAAUACCGGAUAAUAUUUUGAACCGCAUGGUUCAAAAGUGAAAGACGGUCUUGCUGUCACUUAUAGAUGGAUCCGCGCUGCAUUAGCUAGUUGGUAAGGUAACGGCUUACCAAGGCAACGAUGCAUAGCCGACCUGAGAGGGUGAUCGGCCACACUGGAACUGAGACACGGUCCAGACUCCUACGGGAGGCAGCAGUAGGGAAUCUUCCGCAAUGGGCGAAAGCCUGACGGAGCAACGCCGCGUGAGUGAUGAAGGUCUUCGGAUCGUAAAACUCUGUAUUAGGGAAGAACAUAUGUGUAAGUAACUGUGCACAUCUUGACGGUACCUAAUCAGAAGGCCACGGCUAACUACGUCG
rnacentral:rRNA from 1 species